rnacentral:rRNA from 1 species
UAGGGAAUCUUCGGCAAUGGACGAAAGUCUGACCGAGCAACGCCGCGUGAGUGAAGAAGGUUUUCGGAUCGUAAAACUCUGUUGUUAGAGAAGAACAAGGACGUUAGUAACUGAACGUCCCCUGACGGUAUCUAACCAGAAAGCCACGGCUAACUACGUGCCAGCAGCCGCGGUAAUACGUAGGUGGCAAGCGUUGUCCGGAUUUAUUGGGCGUAAAGCGAGCGCAGGCGGUUUCUUAAGUCUGAUGUGAAAGCCCCCGGCUCAACCGGGGAGGGUCAUUUGAAACUGGGAGACUUGGGUGCAGAAGAGGAGAGUGGAAUUCCAUGUGUAGCGGUGAAAUGCGUAGAUAUAUGGAGGAACACCAGUGGCGAAGGCGGCUCUCUGGUCUGUAACUGACACUGAGGCUCGAAAGCGUGGGGAGCAAACAGG